GAUGAACGCUGGCGGCGUGCCUAACACAUGCAAGUGGAGCGACGAACCCGGCUUCGGCCGGGGGCAAAGCCGCGAACGGGUGAGUAACACGUGGGUUACCUGCCCCGAUGACCGGGACAACCCGAGGAAACUCGGGCUAAUACCGGAUGUGCUCUUCGGAGGAAAGGAAGCUUCGGCCUCCGCAUCGGGAUGGGCCCGCGGCGCAUUAGCUAGUUGGUGGGGUAACGGCCUACCAAGGCGACGAUGCGUAGCUGGUCUGAGAGGACGAUCAGCCACACUGGAACUGAGACACGGUCCAGACUCCUACGGGAGGCAGCAGUGGGGAAUCUUGCGCAAUGCACGAAAGUGUGACGCAGCAACGCCGCGUGCGGGAUGAAGGCCCUCGGGUUGUAAACCGCUGUCGGGAGGGAUGAAGUGCAUGGGGGCUAUCCCCUGUGUUUGACAGAGCUCCGGAGGAAGCACGGGCUAAGUUCGUGCCAGCCGCCGCCGUAAUAC
rnacentral:rRNA from 1 species